UAACGUUACCAAACUGUUGCCUCGGCGGGAUCUUCUGCCCCGGGUGCGUCGCAGCCCCGGACCAAGGCGCCCGCCGGAGGAAUCAACCAAAACUCUUAUUGUAUACCCCCUCGCGGGUUUUUUUUAUAAUCUGAGCCUUCUCGGCGCCUCUCGUAGGCGUUUCGAAAAUGAAUCAGAACUUUCAACAACGGAUCUCUUGGUUCUGGCAUCGAUGAAGAACGCAGCGAAAUGCGAUAAGUAAUGUGAAUUGCAGAAUUCAGUGAAUCAUCGAAUCUUUGAACGCACAUUGCGCCCGCCAGUAUUCUGGCGGGCAUGCCUGUCCGAGCGUCAUUUCAACCCUCGAACCCCUCCGGGGGGUCGGCGUUGGGGAUCGGCCUUCCUUCACGGGGGCCGUCUCCGAAAUACAGUGGCGGUCUCGCCGCAGCCUCUCCUGCGCAGUAGUUUGCACACUCGCAUCGGGAGCGCGGCGCGUCCACAGCCGUUAAACACCCAACUUUCUGAAAUGUUGACCUCGGAUCAGGUAGGANNNCCCGCUGAACUU
rnacentral:rRNA from 1 species